AAUAAUCAGCAAAGCAUCUCAAACGAUACUAAAAGAAAAAUGCAUCAUGCAGAGAAUAAAAUGAAUUUCAUUGAUUUGGAACAAGACAACCUAUAUCUACCAGAUUACGAAGAUGACUUUUCUCAGUAUGAGGAAUUUAUGCAUACAAC